rnacentral:rRNA from 1 species
CCCUUCGAUGUUCCCGGCCGCACCUGUGCUACAAUGGUAGAGUCAACGAGUUGAAUGGCGGUCGUUGAUACGCUCAUGACCGCCAACCAGGAACUUUUUCUUUGAAAAGAUUCUCGGUAAUCUGGUGCAACUCUGCCGUGCUUGGGAUAGAGCGUUUGUAAUUCUGGCUCUUGAACGAGGAAUCCCUAGUAGGCAUUACGUCAUUAUCGUGUGCCGAUUACGUCCCUGCUCUUUGUACACACCGCCCGUCGCUACUACCGAUUGAAUGAUCUUGUGAGAAUGACUGUUCCCGUACGCCCUUUACGGGCGGUCGGUUUUUAAUUAAGUCACGUCAAACAAGAUUAUUUAGAGGAAGUAAAAGUCGUAACA